GACGAACGCUGGCGGCGUGCUUAACACAUGCAAGUCGAACGGAGUGGCGAACGGGUGAGUAACACGUGGGUGACCUGCCCUGCACUUCGGGAUAAGCCUGGGAAACUGGGUCUAAUACCGGAUAGUGUGGGAUGGGCCCGCGGCCUAUCAGCUUGUUGGUGGGGUAAUGGCCUACCACGGCGGCGACGGGUAGCCGGCCUAAGAGGGUGGACGGCCACAUUGGGACUGAGACACGUCCCAGACUCCUACUGGAGGCAGAAGUGGGGAAUAUUGCACAAUGGGCGGAAGCAUGAUGCAGCGACGCCGCGUGGGGGAUGACGGCGUUCGGGUUGUAAACUCCUUUCACCAUCGACGCGGUAGAUGGAGAAGAAGCACCGGCUAACUACGUGCCAGCAGCCGCGGUAAUAC
rnacentral:rRNA from 1 species